ACAUGAAAUGAACACUGAUAGAAUACCCAGGAUCUUCCCACCAUCAGAUCUGUGUUGCCACACACCAUGUGUUCCACCUGUAGACCAGAAGCUGCACUUAUCCCAGGAGAGCCAUGAACAGAGCACAAUGUGUUUGUAGGUAAUCAAAAGGUUGGACUUUCCUGAUUUAAGGCUAAGAGGACCUCAUGUGAAUUUGGCAAUGUGAUGCCACAGUAGUCUUAAGAUGCAGAAAACAGCACUGGGGAGACAGCUCAAUCAAUAAAGUGCUCUCCACUCCAAGUGUGAGAGCCGGAGUUCCACCAACACCUGUGUAAAAGCUGGAUGAAACAUGAUUCUCUGUACAUAUGUGCAAGCACACCCACACACAUGAACACAUAUCUGUAGAAUGAAAAUAAAAAUACAUUUUUUUCUUUUGGAAAUAUAUUGGAAUGUUACAUUAUUAUCUGUAUACUGAGGUGAUCCUU
rnacentral:lncRNA from 1 species